GCUUAGCCCUAAACCCAGGUAGUUUAAUAACAAGACUAUUCGCCAGAGUACUACGAGCAACAGCUUAAAACUCAAAGGACUUGGCGGUGCUUUAUAUCCCUCUAGAGGAGCCUGUUCUGUAAUCGAUAAACCCCGAUAAACCUCACCGACCCUUGCUAAUACAGCCUAUAUACCGCCAUCUUCAGCAAACCCUAAGAAGGAACCAUAGUAAGCAUAAACAUACUACAUAAAAACGUUAGGUCAAGGUGUAGCCUAUGGGCCGGGAAGAAAUGGGCUACAUUUUCUAUGAUAGAAUACCCAAACGAAAAUUUUCGUGAAACCGAGAAUAGAAGGAGGAUUUAGUAGUAAAUUAAGAAUAGAGAGCUUAAUUGAAUCAGGCCAUGAAGCAC
rnacentral:rRNA from 1 species